GAUGAACGCUGGCGGUAUGCUUAACACAUGCAAGUCGAACGGACUCUUCGGAGUUAGUGGCGGACGGGUGAGUAACGCGUGAGAAUCUGGCUUUGGGUUCGGGACAACCACUGGAAACGGUGGCUAAUACCGGAUGUGCCGAGAGGUAAAAGAGAAAUUGCCUGAAGAUGAGCUCGCGUCUGAUUAGCUAGUUGGUGAGGUAAAGGCUCACCAAGGCAGCGAUCAGUAGCUGGUCUGAGAGGAUGACCAGCCACACUGGGACUGAGACACGGCCCAGACUCCUACGGGAGGCAGCAGUGGGGAAUUUUCCGCAAUGGGCGAAAGCCUGACGGAGCGAUACCGCGUGAGGGAAGAAGGCUCUUGGGUUGUAAACCUCUUUUCUUAGGGAAGAACAAAAUGACGGUACCUAAGGAAUCAGCAUCGACUAACUCCGUG
rnacentral:rRNA from 1 species